UCAGCUGGCUUCAGCCCUGUGCCCUGCGUCAUCUAUACAUUUGUUUCGAUAAUCUGCAGUUUGUCUUAAAAACAAAGUUUGUAAUAAAAUUUGUACGAAAUA